AGGUUGGGGAUCAAAUUGGCAAGGAGCAUUGCAAAGGUAAUUUGCAAGAGUUGUUAAACCCAGACAAAAAACAAGAUUUUAGUAAGAGAACAACAUCAAAUACAAUUUCAUUGGAGAUGGAUAAAAGUUGGAUCCAUCUUAACAGAGUAACGGUGGAAUAUGAGCAAAAAUCUAGAGAGUUUGCACUUGCUUGACUGGGCAGAUGUAAUUGUUGAUGAAGGUCGUUGGGAUUCUAGUGAUCCAAAUAUAACUGUACAUGGAAAGCCUCUUGGACCAGACUUUAUGCGAGUAUGGGUUGAUGUUGCUAUUGUAGCAGAGUCUUACUUAUUUCGUCCUAAUCAUGCG